rnacentral:lncRNA from 1 species
ACAUCACAACAAAAACAGCCACUAUCAUCAAAACAAACAUCCUCUACUACCAAAUUGUAAUAAUUUGGUGAAAACUUACAUCAUUCCUUUUCUGCUGCCAGGUCCUAUUGAAGUAGCUUCAGCUCAUUGAAUUUACAUUUAGAAGACUAAAGUAGACUAAUACUUCCAAAUAAGCUCUGUGAUAAAUGAUAGAUUGGGUUGCCACGUACUGUUCAGUUGGAGCUCUAUACUGCUACUAAUUCCCUAGUGUUAUUGCUGUUUUAUAUAACUAAUGAGCAACUGUGCUAAUUAUAGUAUUUAUUAUUUACUUUUUAAAUUCAUUCAGGUACAUCUGUCCAUGCAACUGUUCAUUGGUUUGCUGGUCUGAUAUCAGGGAGAAUUUUUCGUUGAGAAUUUAGAACUGGGAAGAAAGUAUUUGUCAUAAUGUUAAAAAGCAGACAAUUUUACAUAAAAGUAAUUUUAAAAAUAAAUGUUUGAAUGUUCAUAACAGCAUUAUUCAUAAUUUCCAACAUCCCUGAAAUGUCCAUCAACUGAUGAAUGGAUAAACAAAAUGUGGUACAUCCAUACAAUGGAAUAUUAUUCAGACCUAAAGAGGAGUGAAGUUCUGAUAUACACUACAACAUGGACAAACCUUAAAGACAUUAUGCUAAGUGAAUAAACAAGACACAAAAGACCACUGAAUAUUUUAUUCCAUUUACGAGAAAUGUCUAUAAUAGGCAAAUCUGUAGAGACAGAAAGUAGAUUACUGGUUGCCCAGAACUGGAGAAGUGGGGAGUAGAAAAUGGUAGCUAAAAGUUACGAGGUUUUUUAAUGGAGUGACUCAAGUGUUCUAAAAUUGACUGAAAUGAUUGCACAACUGUGAAUGUGCUAAAAACCUCUGAACAGCAUACCUUAAAUGUGUGAAUUGCA